GGGAGGGAGAACAGAUACUACUAAAUCCCCAUUUUACAGAGGAGGAAACUGAGGCACAGAGAAGUAAGGUGACUUGCCCUUGGUCACACAACAGCGGCAGAACUGAGAUUAGAAUCCAGACCUUCUGACUCCCAGACCCUUCUCUUUCCACUCGGACAAGCUGCUUCUUGGCAUGAAAGAAGAUCUCUGGAGAGAUGCCCUUUCAACCUUCUGUCUUUGCGAAAGGCCUAUUGAAUAAGGGCCGUGGAUGUGUCUAGCUGCCAGGCUAGGCUGAAGCAGAUUGAUCCCUCAGUUAUAUCAAGAAGAUGU
rnacentral:lncRNA from 1 species